GUCGACGCGUCUCCGUUGAUGAUUUUAGGUGCUUGCACUUGAAAGAUUUAACAUUGAGACGAGUGGCGAACUGGUGAGUAACACGUGGGUAACCUGCCCUUGAAGUAGGGGAUAACACUUGGAAACAGGUGCUAAUACCGUAUAACAACCAAAACCACCUGGUUUUGGUUUAAAAGACGGCUUCGGCUGUCACUUUAGGAUGGACCCGCGGCGUAUUAGCUUGUUGGUAAGGUAACGGCCUACCAAGGCGAUGAUACGUAGCCGACCUGAGAGGGUAAUCGGCCACAUUGGGACUGAGACACGGCCCAAACUCCUACGGGAGGCAGCAGUAGGGAAUCUUCCACAAUGGACGAAAGUCUGAUGGAGCAACGCCGCGUGAGUGAUGAAGGGUUUCGGCUCGUAAAACUCUGUUGUUGGAGAAGAACAGGUGUCAGAGUAACUGUUGACAUCUUGACGGUAUCCAACCAGAAAGCCACGGCUAACUACGUGCCAGCAGCCGCGGUAAUACGUAGGUGGCAAGCGUUGUCCGGAUUUAUUGGGCGUAAAGCGAGCGCAGGCGGUUUUUUAGGUCUGAUGUGAAAGCCUUCGGCUUAACCGGAGAAGUGCAUCGGAAACCGGGAGACUUGAGUGCAGAAGAGGACAGUGGAACUCCAUGUGUAGCGGUGAAAUGCGUAGAUAUAUGGAAGAACACCAGUGGCGAAGGCGGCUGUCUGGUCUGUAACUGACGCUGAGGCUCGAAAGCAUGGGUAGCGAACAGGAUUAGAUACCCUGGUAGUCCAUGCCGUAAACGAUGAGUGCUAAGUGUUGGAGGGUUUCCGCCCUUCAGUGCUGCAGCUAACGCAUUAAGCACUCCGCCUGGGGAGUA
rnacentral:rRNA from 1 species